GGACUACCGGGGUAUCUAAUCCUGUUUGCUCCCCACGCUUUCGCGUCUCAGCGUCAGUAUCCGUCCAGAUGGCCGCCUUCGCCACCGGUGUUCCUCCCCAUAUCUACGAAUUUCACCUCUACUUGGGGAAUUCCGCCAUCCUCUCCGGUACUCAAGCUCAGCAGUUUCGGGCGCACUUCCUCGGUUGAGCCGAGGGCUUUCACACCCGACUUGCUAAGCCGCCUACACGCGCUUUACGCCCAAUAAUUCCGAACAACGCUUGCACCCUCUGUAUUACCGCGGCUGCUGGCAC
rnacentral:rRNA from 1 species